AUGCCCCAACCUGCAUUUCCCAGUCUAAUGAUAAACUCCCUAUCUUUUUUUCAACUGUGCAGGAAAUGUGACAUUGGCUCCACAAAUCAACAAAGCGUCAAAAUAUCUCUACCUAAAGAGUAUCCAAAAAACUUGCCAGGCAGCCCUGUGGGCUUACUUCCGAAGACUUUGCUCUGCCCAGGAAUCUUAUCACAAGGAAAUGAACAGCAAAAACCCAGACAAACGCGAUAAGGCACACUCGCAAGAUACUGAUGCAGUCAUGAGAGGCAGCUUUUCUUCAAGACCCUAAGGUGUCCUGAGUGCUGCCCCAAGGUGAGUAGUCACGUAAGCCAUCUUCAGCAAGAGGGCAGGAAGAACAAUGUCUUUCAAGGUUAUCAUAGUUCAUGGUCAACCACAAUUAGUAUCACACGAAAGAAGGUGAAUUCCGAGCUGUGUAUGUUGCAACAGGAGAGACGUUUUAUUUGGAAGUCAUGUGAAAAUAUGUAAAGAACAAUCUUUCGGCCGGCACCGCAGCUCACUAGGCUAAUCCUCCGCCUGCGGCGCUGGCACCCCAGGUUCUAGUCGCAGUCAGGGCACCGGAUUCUGUCUGGGUCGCUCCUCUUCCAGUCCAGCUCUCUGCUGUGGCCCGGGAGUGCAGUGGAGGAUGGCCCAAGUGCUUGGGCCCUGCACCCGCAUGGGAGACCAGGAGAAGCACCUGGCCUGGAUUGGCACAGCGUGCCAGCUGUGGCGGCUAUUUGUGGGGUGAACCAACGGAAGAAAGACCUUUCUCUCUGUCUCUCCCUCUCACUGUCCACUCUGCCUGUCACCAAAAAAAAAAAAAAACCCCACAAUCUUUCAAAACACUUCCACAGAACACAUCCUUGAAUUGUAUAAGACUUUAAUAAGACUUUAUUUGGAGAUCAUUCAUCUGCAUAAUCUGAAAUCACAUUUUCUAUUGAUAAUCAAUUUUUAAAACUCUUUUUCUGAUCUUUGAUUAUGGAUCAACAACAAAAGAUCAAUCUUACUUUAAAAUAAAAAAAAAUAGCCCAUUCA
ensembl:lncRNA